rnacentral:rRNA from 1 species
AGCAGCCGCCGCGGUAAAACGGAGGGUGCAAGCGUUAAUCGGAAUUACUGGGCGUAAAGCGCACGCAGGCGGUCUGACAAGUCAGAUGUGAAAUCCCCGGGCUUAACCUGGGAACUGCAUUUGAAACUGUCAGGCUGGAGUCUUGUAGAGGGGGGUGGAAUUCCAGGUGUAGCGGUGAAAUGCGUAGAGAUCUGGAGGAAUACCGGUGGCGAAGGCGGCCCCCUGGACAAAGACUGACGCUCAGGUGCGAAAGCGUGGGGAGCAAACAGGAUUAGAUACCCGUGUAGUCCCUGUCUCUUAUAA